UGAAGGUCCCUGAUGAGAGGAGCAGAGCACAGCUCAGAGGAUAGUGCUGUUGUCUUCCUGGGCAUUGAAUCCAAGACCUCACAAAUGCUGGGUGUGUUCCUGUAUGGGGCACAGAACGGUGCAGGAUGUUGUGUUUC